UCAGUUGGACCAAUCGUACCGUCAGCAGCGAGGAAACCAACAACAACCGUUUCACACUGAGCAAUCAACAGCUAAAAAGACUACCAGCACCGAUUCGGACAACAUCGACUCAGAUGAGAAAUAGCAGCAACAGCGCAGAUUGUCGGUGUUAUUCCAAUAAUAUACUGUCUGUAACAAAAACUCCACUAGCUGAUGAACGAUAUGCUACGGCGAAAGUUCCACAAUUUCAAACACAGCGUCACGACAACAUCAAUUCUACAGCAGUACUUGGGAGCCCACUAAUCCUUCCAUCAAAGGAUCGGAGCGAUAUGUGUCCUAUUUGCUACACAAUUUCCUCCACAAAUCACAACUUCACGGUGCUCAAAAACAGAAAAUCCGCGUCUGAGAAUGAUGGGGAGAAUCAGUUUGCGUGGUCAAUUUGCUUCAAGGCGCUUCGUUGCUGGAUCGGUACAUGCAGCUUCCACUCGAACUUGGAGCGUCAUAUCAAGCAGUAACAUCUUUAAUUCUGGUCGUAUUGUCAGCGCGGAGGCAAUCAUUAGAAGCGCGGUUGGAGUAUUCGAUCGGCAAUCCGCCAAAGGGAGGAAGUAGACAAAGAUUUGAUGUUCCGCUGUCACAAGAUUAAAACGACGAGCAGGUGCUGCUGACUUCCGGCUCGGCAUGAGGCUGAGUGGAGAAUUUCUUAUUAAAUUGAAAGAACAAGUACUACCAAUUUUGAUCCACAAUGAUCAAUCAGCAUGUGACUAAACUGAGAGAUUUUUUCACUAUGCAGCUUCCAUUGGGAUUUCCAGUAAAAAUAGAAAUAACGCUGUUUCAUGUGUUGAACGCGGUUAUCAUAUUUGGCAACUUAUUCGAAUAAGAGACACCCGUGACCAGCGUGAGCCCCAUCAAAGAAAGCGAGAAGCGUACGAGA